UGUCCAAUGCAACCAAAGCAUGACAAUUUCCAUGUAACUGGUUUUUUUUCCCUCGAGAUUAUGAAAUUGCAACUUUAUCAUUCUUAAGUGUGACAUGAGUAUAUUUUUUCUGUCAUGCAUUAAGAUUCUCCAUAGUUGUUAGAAUCCCACGAUUCACGAUUCUAUUCGUGAUUCACGGCAAAACGAUACGAAUCUAUAGGUGAAUCGAGGUUUAUCACAAUUUUUGCAUUCGACUAAUAUGAAACCACUUUUGUGGUUUUGCCUUAAUUUCUCUUAUAAAAAAGCAAGAAUAAGAUCACAACUAUUAAGGCUAAUCUUUCAUUUUUAUAACGAAUCUUUGACAU